rnacentral:rRNA from 1 species
UACGAAGGGGGGCUAGCGUUGCUCGGAAUCACUGGCGAAGACGCGCGCAGGCGGUCUUCCAAGUCAGUGGUGAAAGCCUGGAGCUCAACUCCAGAACUGCCAUUGAAACUGUUAGACUUGAGUACGAGAGAGGUGAGUGGAAUUCCCAGUGUAGAGGUGAAAAUUCGUAGAUAUUGGGAAGAACACCAGUGGCGAAGGCGGCUCACUGGCUCGUAACUGACGCUCAGGCGCGACAGCCGUGGGGGAUCAAAACAGG